ACAAGUGAAUUGAAACCAAAUCUCGAUGUUGUUGUUGUGGACUAGACGCAAACUAAAGAAGCACAAACAAACACACAGUCCACUAAUCAAUUAAUAGUCAUCAAAAGUAUUGGUACAGUUCCCAGGUGACUUUACCACCUGCCCUCACACACACAGCAACACAGAUACAAAGAUACACUCACGGACACAACCGCGCACUCACACACUCACGCCGCUUUUGGCCGCUUUCCUGCGCCGCUUACCAAAUUGUCAAUUCCUUAUCAAUUCGCCCAGUCCAGCCCCUCAAACGAAGUGCAAAUCCCCUUCCCAGUGCAGCGGAAGGGACGGACAAGUGGAAAACCCAACGGAUUAGGCGAUUUCACGCUGUCUUUCAAAAAAGGUAGUUCAAUUGUCGAAGAUUUGUGGGAAGUACAUUAUAAUACACAAUGAAGUAAUGUAUUGUAAUGCAUUGCAUUGCGCUUCCCUGAGGUUUAAGAAAUCGAAUAAUCCCAUUUCAUUAGUUAUGUAUGUAUCUCUGAAAAAACAUUUGAAACUUCUUUGGAAAAGUGCUAAAUUUACCCAGAAAUUUAGGUUCAAAUGCUUGCUGGGUGAAAAUAGUCGUAUUAGAUUGUUAUACUAUAUUAAAUACAAUAACUUUUUUUUUUUAGUCACUUCCUUUCCUGAAAUAAUAACUUUUUAUUAUAAUAAAGAUUAUGGUGUUCCUCGGUAAUAUUCAACAAAAAUACAUAUAUUCUUUAGGAAACCCAAUAUUAAAAUGGUUUAAUCCUUACAAAAUUGAACUUAUUUCUAUAUAAUUCAUAAAAAAGUUAAAAGUUGUUUACGAGCUGUAACAAAAAUAUUUGAAGCACUACGUUUUGUCUAAUAUUUUGAUAUCGAAAAUCUGUGAUUUUCUUUGAAAUCAAAAAACUAAAAUGGGAAAUACAUUUUCGGUGCUUCAUAAUAAAGUACUUCAUAAAAUAAAAACUUCAUAAUAAAGUUGAUACAUUUUUUGCAUCCCAUUUUUCACUCA